AGAGACAGUGUUCCGGUUAGAGGGAAGCCCUGCCUCAGCACUGAUGCAAAGACACCUUGGGGCAUAAAGUGUCCCAGAAGUACACUGGAAAAAAAGAUAAACAGGUCCCAUCCAUUAAGUGUUUUCUUGUACUACAACCUCAGAACAACAGGACCACUGUUCUAGAAUACUUCUCUGUAACACUCUUUGCCUGCCAUCUUUUAUAGGGUUACAGUGCUCAGCCACCCACAGGAUACCACAUUUGGAAGCUGCCAUGGCCCCAUUACCCUGUAGAAUGUUGCUAAGGAAGGAAUCAACGAGGUCCUCAGCAUCAGCCCUCAGCACAGAGCGAGACAGACACGCCGUCAAGGAGCGGAGGGCUGCCAGGCCCUCGGUCUCCACCCGCUCACUUGCUGUCUGGAACACCUGUCAGGGAGGGAUCCCACAGCUACUGAGGUCCCCAAAGGCAAGGCGCCACACUGAGGAGCUGCACAGAAGUCAGGAAUUACGGAUGUAAGCCGACUUUCCUGACAAGCUGUGGCCAGACUCCCAGUUACCUGAAAAAUGGGCUAGUUGGCAAAGUUAUAGGAGUUCAAGAGAGAGCACCAAAUAUGGCUUGAAUUACUACUUUAGAUGAAGAGAUGGUAAAGUUUUCUACUUUGGAGUCUGAAGAUACUUGCCAUGCAAGUAAGUAUGAAGACAUUUGCAGGAUGCCAUACCCUAAAUUUCCACUGGCCCUUUCUCCCGGUGCUUUUGCUGUCUUCCUUCAGAUCCUCCUAUGGGCUGAGACAACAUACUCUAACCUUGGUCAG